rnacentral:tRNA from 1 species
ACGAGGUGGCCGAGAGGUUAAGGCAUUGGACUGCUAAUCCAAUGAGCUCUGCACGCGUGGGUUCGAAUACCAUCCUGUGUG